UACGAAGGGGGCUAGCGUUGUUCGGAUUUACUGGGCGUAAAGCGCACGUAGGCGGAUUCUUAAGUCAGGGGUGAAAUCCUGGAGCUCAACUCCAGAACUGCCUUUGAUACUGAGGACCUUGAGUUCGGGAGAGGUGAGUGGAACUGCGAGUGUAGAGGUGAAAUUCGUAGAUAUUCGCAAGAACACCAGUGGCGAAGGCGGCUCACUGGCCCGAUACUGACGCUGAGGUGCGAAAGCGUGGGGAGCAAACAGG
rnacentral:rRNA from 1 species